UCGCCUGUUUAUCAAAAACAUAGCCAUUAGAUGAUACUAUAUGGUUUUACCUGCCCAAUGUUACGAUGAAUGGCCGCGGUACCCUGACCGUGCUAAGGUAGCGUAAUCAGUUGACCUUUAAAUGAGGUCAGGAAUGAAUGGAAUAACCGGGUUUAGCUGUCUCCAAACCAUUAUAUUGAAUUUACUAUCUAAGUGAAAAAGCUUAGGAUUUAAAAAAGGAGGAGAAGACCCUUAGAAUUUUUUUAAAAAGGAACAUAUUUUCCUUACAGUUUUAUUGGGGCGAUAAAGAAAUAAUUAAAACUUUCUUUUUUAACAAGCCGAUUGUAUUAAGUAAGAAUAAAUUACCUGAGGGAUAACAGCAUAAUUCUAUAACUGAGUUUGUGACCUCGAUGUUGGACUAGGAAACCAGUAGGCUAGCCGUUUACUGUGUUAGGUUCUGUUCGAACUUUUAUUCCU
rnacentral:rRNA from 1 species